UACGGGGGGGGCAAGCGUUGUUCGGAAUUACUGGGCGUAAAGGGCGCGUAGGCGGCCUGCUAAGUCGGAUGUGAAAUCCCUCGGCUCAACCGAGGAACUGCAUCCGAUACUGGCGGGCUUGAAUCCGGGAGAGGGAUGUGGAAUUCCAGGUGUAGCGGUGAAAUGCGUAGAUAUCUGGAGGAACACCGGUGGCGAAGGCGGCAUCCUGGACCGGUAUUGACGCUGACGGCGCGAAAGCUAGGGGAGCAAACGGGG
rnacentral:rRNA from 1 species